UCUAACUUCCACACAAAAUGCUAGAAUACAGAUCUGCUUGGUUCAAGAUCACUACAUGGCACUGGUUGGUUUUCUUCCUGUUCUAAUCACAUGUUCCUUCUUCCUAACUAAGGGAGUCCUUACCAGAAUAGCCUCUACCUGUCACUCAGCUUCAAGGCUACUUGCAUGUGUUUAACUGCUAUUUUUACAGCAGUGCCACAAAACACUAUAGCCAGUGCUGGCAAAAUGGCUCAGAAGGUAAAGGUGCUUGUGAGCAGGAACUGAGUUUGAUCCCAGGAACACUCAUAGUCAGAGGAGAGCAGAGUGCUACACAGCCUCUGCUUCUAGACACAUACCACAGCUGCACACGCUUGUACACACCGUACAGAUAACACACAACAGCAUAAACCAAGUUGCUUUGAAGUUCCCUUCUAAAGAAAUGAAAUUUUAGGUUAGCAUAGUAUUGGGUUUUAUUAUGGCGUUGUCAUAUCUAUAGACCAUUAUACUUCUCAUUAGCUUACCACUUUUGGAUAAAACCUUAGGGCUGCGGGUUCCGCUCGGUGGUGGUAGUUCUUGCCUGGCAUGUGAAUAGCUAGUUUUUAUCUCCAUCAGUGGACAGACCGUAUACAGCAAUCUAUUUUCUCACACAAGAAUAGCAGCAUGGGAGUUAGUGAGAGGAUGGUUCAGAGGGCGAAGCUCUUGCCCUGCAAACACAAGGACCAGAGUUCGUUUUCUCAGAACCCAUUUAAGUGCCAUGGAGGCCACCUGUAAUCCCAGAGCCUGGGAAGUUAGACGGGAAUCCUCAGGCGAUUGGGGAGUUAGGUUACUUGACUCUACGAGCUUCGGGUUCAGCAACAGACCCUGCUUCAGUACACGAAAUGGGAAGUGACUGGGAAAGCUGGCAUUACCUUCUGGAUUCUGCAUGCCACGUGCAGAUGCGGGAACACCAACACGCACACGCACACACACGUGAAAACAGGAACGGCAUGUUUGGCGGCUUUCGGAGUAGACUCUUCAUGGCAUGCAGUCGCUUUCACAUGACAGAGCCUGAAAAUGAGGGUUUUUUUAUCCUCUUCUGAUAAAAACCACAGCAUUGUGGGAUGAGGUUUCCCCUCAUUGUCCUGGACUAUCAGAUGAAAUUCUAAAGACCCGAUCUGAACAGUCAUGCCGAGGGUUAGAUUUAAUAUGAAUUUGAGAGGGUCAUAGAUUCUUUUGGGCCCCCAGACAGGUAAUCCUAUUUGUAGAUAAUGAUUUUUUUUUCUAUUUUAGUUGUUUCCUUACAUAAAUUAGUAUGAUGUCCAGCACACUAGUGAAAGUAGUUAAAGCAUAUUUUUCUUUAGAAUUAUAAUGAGGUAUGCUUUCCAUUAUACUGAUUUGCUUAUUAGGAUAGAGGGUUGUUUUAAUAUCUGGAUUUUUACAUAAUGGUUUUAUAGUCUUUCUUUAUUUGUGAGGCAAAAUUCCCCUUUGAUUUAUUAAUUGCUUUCCCUGUAUCCUCUGAGAUGACCACGCUCAUUUGCAUUCAAGUACCUAGGAUUUCAUUGUUUCAAAUAGUAAAUACUGGAAUGAUUAAAGGACUCUAAAAUAAAGGCAGUCAUUUUAUCAAAGAUUGUAUAUUAGUUGCCUGAUGUUAAUUUUAAGUUCUUAGAUGCCUUCAACUUGGCCAUUACGGUUCAUUUUUGUUCUGUGGGACUGCUGAGGAUGGAACCGACCCGGAUGAGGCAGCCCUCUGCCACCGAGCGGUCUGUAAUCUUGAGCCGAAUGGAUCGUUUCUACUACUUAACGUUGCUUAUGCUUACUCACAUGAAGAUUGUCAUAGAUAUUCUCAAGUAACGAUGGCAUACAAGUUUUCCUUAUAUGUAAGAAGAAAUGGCGCAGGGGUAGGAAGAGUGCGCCUGUUCAGCAGUGCACAGGACUGUCUGUGGUCUCAGUCCUCAGUGCCACCAAAACAGCCAGACUAAAAUGAACUGACUGGCUCUUAGCUGUAGAUUAGAACCGUGUCAUUUACUGCCGUGAAUAUAUUCCUCUCCUUUCCCAAAUUAUAAACCUGUUCAGUUAUCCUGAUCUAGAUUAAUUGAUACUGUUUUAGGUACCCAUUUUCUAUUACCAUAAACUGCACAGCAUCUUAUGUGUAUGGGACACCUAAGAUUUACAAUAUCAUUUAAAUUUUUUCGAGUAUAUUUUUCUAGGCAUGCUUUCAUUUUCACAUUUGAAAUUUAUUUUUUUUCUUGUAUUCCUGAUGUUUCCUGGUUGUAUAAUUAAUUUACUUUGGGUCUGCCUUGCAUUCUGCAAUGAUUUCUUGUAAUUAAAUUGAGUUAAUCUUCAACCAGUAUUCUUUUGGAGAGUAUUUGUCUCAAACUACAGCAUGUUGCCUCACACUAAUCUUAGGGACUGGGAAGCCAAGGCAGGAGGGUCACAGAUUUAAGGGUAGCCCAAACCUGGGCUACCUUGUGGACACUGUCUUAAAAAGACAAACAUGAAAAAUAAGACAAGACAAAUGUUCCCAAAGGAGGAGUUGGGGCCUGGUAGAUAAUUUGGGAGGGAAAAAAUUUGUCUUGAAAUAUUUAAACUUUCCAAUAUAGUUUUUAUUCCGUUGACUCUGGCAGGUAUUGACAUGGCUAGAUAGUUUAAUUUUUGUAUCCUUGGUUAAAAAAAAUUUAGGGGUGGGGUGCUAGGAUUCAAACUGAGGGCUUUACACAUGCUAACCACUGACCUAUAACCCAGGUGUAGAUGUGUCUUUUAUAUAUACCUUAGUUAGAGUUUUAAAACUCUGAUUACUUGAAAGAUCCUAAUUAACAAUUCUUUUAGACCAUUAUGUAUAAUGCAAUUAGUAACAAAAUUGGAUUUUUAGCAACUUUUUUCUUCUGUAUUUGUUGCAUGUACCUUUUCUGUAAUGAUGUUUUUCACUGAAAUUUCACCCAGUGCUUGGAUUUGUGUAUUCCAUUUAUCUUUUAGUUGCUAUUCUAAACCAUUAAAUCCAGUUUUAAAAUAG
rnacentral:lncRNA from 1 species